rnacentral:rRNA from 1 species
GAUGAACGCUGGCGGCGUGCCUAAUACAUGCAAGUCGAGCGAGCGGACGAGAAGCUUGCUUUUCUGAUGUUAGCGGCGGACGGGUGAGUAACACGUGGAUAACCUACCUAUAAGACUGGGAUAACUUCGGGAAACCGGAGCUAAUACCGGAUAAUAUUUUGAACCGCAUGGUUCAAAAGUGAAAGACGGUCUUGCUGUCACUUAUAGAUGGAUCCGCGCUGCAUUAGCUAGUUGGUAAGGUAACGGCUUGCCAAGGCAACGAUGCAUAGCCGACCUGAGAGGGUGAUCGGCCACACUGGAACUGAGACACGGUCCAGACUCCUACGGGAGGCAGCAGUAGGGAAUCUUCCGCAAUGGGCGAAAGCCUGACGGAGCAACGCCGCGUGAGUGAUGAAGGUCUUCGGAUCGUAAAACUCUGUUAUUGGGGAAGAACAUAUGUGUAAGUAACUGUGCACAUCUUGACGGUACCUAAUCAGAAAGCCACGGCUAACUACGUG